rnacentral:lncRNA from 1 species
CUGUGAUCAUUUGCAUGUAGCAGUGCAACGCGGAUGCAUUGCAAGUCAUGUUAAAAAAAAACACUUUAUAAAUGUCAUGCGUCCGAAACGCUCUUCUGAUCUUUUCAUAAGAAACGCUCAAAGACGAAUAUUUGAAAGCCAAUGAUGUUUAGGAACCAACACAUUUACAGAGCUAACUAUAUAGAUUGAACAAGAAGAAACUUACUUAUAAUGCUGACAUAUAAAAAACUAUCAAUGCAUCUUUAUGAGCAUAACCUGAUAUCAUCAACAUGCAAUUGGAUCCCACACACAUUGAACGAUUUUCAAAUGUCGGAACAUACCAAAAUUUAAACAUGCCCAUCAGGUCAUGCUGGUCUAGUAAUUUUAUGGCAACGUUUCAUCAAAGUAUAUUCACGAAUUUUCAUUUCAACUUUUUUUCAACACAUUUUGGACAUCGUGCUUUUGACUGCCCCCCUUUUUUCAUAUACAGGUCACUUUCAUACGGUCUAAUCAUAUUAUUAAACUAUUAUUGUACACUUAAAACAAACCAACAGUUUAUUAAAAUAUUAUAAUGGAAACUACGUUUUGCAAAAUAGGAAAACAUUUAAAACUUUCUUGGUCAAACCAAAUGUAUGGGAAACCGUUAAAAGAAAAACACCUGAUCAAUCGCUUUAAAAGGGUGUGAUUACCAUUCUCAGCAUGUAAUGUUUGGCUACUAUGUCCUUAGAUACUAGAUAUCUUUUUUUCAAAUGCAUUUACGUUCAGGUCUGAUUUCUUACGUAAGAAUGUACGAACAUUUACAUGACUCAUAAAACACACAUAGUACAGCAGCAAAUAAUUUGAUUAUUUUUAUCUCUUGUAUUCAAGUACGUGUUGAAAUUAAAGUACAAAAGAUACCCAUUCCACCCUUUAAAAUUUUAGUCUGAAUUCGUUUUAGUUUUCUGAUUUAUUCGUUCAUAACCGAAAUUUAUUUAAAAGUUACCUUGCUUAGAAAACUGAUUCAACGAACACCAAGUACAAAAUAAUUAGACGAGAAGGCAUGUGAAAAAUCGUUGAUUUCUCUGAAUCAAUUCCCAUGCACUGUUUACCCCUUCCAAUACUGAUGCAUGUAAGAGUUUGUCAAAAUUCUGUAUUUUUGGCCAGAAGAUACAACAAAAAGUGUGAUAAAUGGGUGUAUGUGAUAUCUGACAUUAACCACUGUGCUAAGUAAUCCAUGAAGAUGGAAUAAACAUUAUAAACUAUUACGUGAUUACAGCACGUCUGCUUAAUGCAGCAUCCAUGUUUGCAAAAAAAUAUAUCUAGAAAGAUUAGUGUCAUUUCAUGUCAUUCAAAUCUAAAAAUACGAUACAGAAUAUAUGGAUAAAUAAUUUGAAAUUGAAACUUUGAG